GGGAAGCAAGCUGGAUGGCUGUGAUGGGUGCAGCUGGCAUCCGGGAUCCCUGGGCUCCAUCCGGCCUUGGGGCCAGUCGGGUGCCCACCCCGUUCCACUUCCCAGCAGAACUGUCAUCCCUACCCCUCCCCAGCCAGCCUCUGUGGGCUCCUGGCCAGGGCAGGGAGGGUCCUGUGCUGACAGUGCGGCAGGUACCGGGUGCUCGAGAACUUGAGUCAGGGCUGCUGCCAGGGGGUCCUGGUGUGCCAGGGAAAGCCCCCGGCCUCCGCCCUCCCGGGAAUGUGCUGGGAGAGGACCACUGAUGCUGGGUGGGCUGCUUGCUGCAGAUGGCCAGUAAGGAGGGCGUGAGGCCAGAGCCUUUCUCUCGGCAACAGGAUCCUGCAGGAAGGCCCAGCCGCUUCUGUGAGCUCAGCCCACUGGGAGCAGUCUGUCCCCGAGGACCCACAGACCUGGGCUGUGAGAUGUGUCGAUGAUAAAAUCAAAACCAUAUUUUUCUAUGUUGGAAGACGGAGCCGUGAUAAAUUUGGAAAGUAAUACAUAUCAGGGCUUUGCAGACCACUUCCCGGCAUCUCCCAGCAGACGGGCUUCCUGCAGCCAGAGCGGCGCACCCCCAAGGGCGUGCGGCUUGGACUGGCGGCUGCGGCAGUCUGUGAAGAUCUCAGUUUCCCCAGCUUCUCCAAGAUGGCGGUCACUCUUCUCUGGCUCUGGCAUUCUUGUGAGAAAGCUCGAAGACCGUGCCCACAGAAAACCUCUGUGUCCGGGGGUUCCUUUACAUCAUGACUCAGCCUGAGGAACGUGAGGGACUAGACUGAAAAGGAUCCAGAUAGGCUCUAGUCCACCUCUUUUCUGUGGCCUCUGCUGGCCAGAGAGAGACAUAGAAACCCCCUCCAGUAGGGGAGAUCAGACCUUAUCUCAAAAGAGACUCCAGGAGACCGGAGAAGGCCGUUUGAUGUCAGGAUGAAGGACACGGACCUGUCCAACCUACAGUACAGUCAUGUCGGCCACACUGGAUGGGGCAGACCCCACGUCCUCCCUGUGUGGUUCUCGUGGCCCACCAUCCAGGCAGAUGUGCUCAUGGGACAGACUGGGGCCCUCAGAGAGCUCUCAGCUCCUGCUCCUCAUGACACAGAAAGGCGCGUGACAGUGCCCACCACUGGUCUUUUAAAAAGACUCGGGGCUGGAAAUGACCAAAAGUCAAUCUGCUGCCUCAGUCUCCAGUGACUACGUGCCCGUCCAGUCCCCCCUUGAGGAGGCUUCCCCCAGCAGAGUCUCCUCUGCUGACAGGGCAGGGACAGAGAGCUCGCUCCCUUGCUGCAGGGGAGGCUCGGCUUCUGCAGCCUGGAAAUCAUCUCUGCAGGAUGGCCCUUUUUCUGGAGGCCUGGCCGUUCCCCACAACCCAACGACACUCUCUGGCGAGGUGAACACCCGUUCCUGGGACAAUGCUGAAGCACCUGCUGGUCUGUGGUCACUUAUUCGGUGUGUCUUCCCCGCAGAGCUGCAGACAUCAGAAUAGUCCUGGGCUGCUUCAGAAAUAAGACCGGUACCCUGGUUUCCUGAAGCCACUGUAACAAACAAGCACAAACUGGGUGAUGCAAAAAAACAGAACCUUAUUCCCUCUUCGUGCAGGAGGCCAGAAGACUAAAACCAAGUUAUUGCUGGGAUGAUGUCUUUGCCUGGACUCUGUUGCUGCUGCCGUGGUGGAUCCCUUUAGGCUCUCAUUGGCUCCCUUGGAACAGCCAGUGCUCCCUAAUUGGUGUCUUUUGAUCUAUCACAGAAAGUUGCAGCCAAGCAAGAAAAGGCUGAGGACUCUGGAGAGAAGAGAUACAGACUUGCACUGGCAAUGUGGAAGGGAUGGUUCAGAUCUAGCGUCCCCGGGAGCCAGCAGACCCUUGUUUCUUACACACUGCAGGAUGGGUGUGGCUCCUGACUAUUGGGAUUGACCCUGAAGUCUCUGCUGGGAACGAGGGGACGUCGUUUCCAUGGGACCGUGACACUGUUCCUCUGGUCCCUUCCUGAAUGGUGAAGUUUGAACUGUGACUUGUCUGCAGAGUAGGACGUACAGCCAUCCCUGCUUUGCCAGCAGAGAGGUCUCGGGUAUGUGAUGCUGUGCAUGGACGUAUUUGAAAUCCACAGCACAUGGGCUGGACAGGUGAGAAGUGGGUCUCAGACAGGCUCCUCUCACACCCUGGGCUCAGUCAUAUACUGGGGCAAUUGGCAAGGCCCAGCUUCUAAAUUGACCCCAUAACACUCUGCCAUUGCCAAUGGGGGUGGGCUUGGCUGGGUUUCCCAGAAACAGAAUAAAUUGAAAAGCAAUUGUACUGCAGGGGUGGGACGGUGAGGCGUGGGGGCGGUCAGAGCGCUUUGUCCAAUUGGUUCCCAAGCACGUGAACUCUGCAGUAAGGCUGCUGGAGGGACAAAAUCAAGGUCAUGAAGAUUGACCCCUGUGUUUUCUUCUAAGGGUUUUAUAUUUUAGCUCCUACAUUGUGGUCUUUGAUGCAUUUUUGGUGGGAGGAGAUGUAAUUGGCUUUAUUCAACCAUUCAUGAACUGGGCAGCAUCCCCUCUAGCAGGUAGAAGGGAACUCCCUGAUGCAUUUUGGUUUAAAAACCACAGAUAUGCUUUACAACAGUGAGAUAUUUGGCAGGAGUAUGUGGGACAAUUUACCCAAAGACACAAUUUUUUUAACAGAUUUAUCGACUUCGAAAUUUCAUUUCCUGUGUGCUCAUUUAUUUAUACGCACCCAUUAAUAUGCACAGCAGUACAGUAGUAAUAGCUCUUGUGGCCACACAGGAAAUGGUGUGCUAAUGUGGGCACGUAGUAACUGGAAACAUCAAGGACAUGUAACAAGGGACUCUGCACUUUUUGUAACCAACCCCCUCUUAAGGAUCAAAGGGUGUGGCCGGAUUUUGGACUGACAGCAUCAAAAAGUCAGACAGAGAAUACAUGAAUCAGGAGAUGCAUUUUCUCUCUAACUUCAGGAAACGCGGGACAAAGAGAGCCUGGACCAGCUUCCACAGGCUGAAGAGUGGAA